rnacentral:rRNA from 1 species
CUGGGGGGGGUGCCUAUACAUGCAAGUCGAGCGGACUUGACGGAAGCUUGCUUCCGUUCAAGUUAGCGGCGGACGGGUGAGUAACACGUGGGUAACCUGCCUGUAAGACUGGGAUAACUCCGGGAAACCGGGGCUAAUACCGGAUAUUCUUUUUCUUCGCAUGAAGAAGAAUGGAAAGGCGGCUUUUAGCUGUCACUUACAGAUGGACCCGCGGCGCAUUAGCUAGUUGGUGAGGUAACGGCUCACCAAGGCAACGAUGCGUAGCCGACCUGAGAGGGUGAUCGGCCACACUGGGACUGAGACACGGCCCAGACUCCUACGGGAGGCAGCAGUAGGGAAUCUUCCGCAAUGGACGAAAGUCUGACGGAGCAACGCCGCGUGAGUGAAGAAGGUUUUCGGAUCGUAAAGCUCUGUUGUCAGGGAAGAACAAGUACGGAAGUAACUGUCCGUACCUUGACGGUACCUGACCAGAAAGCCACGGCUAACUACGUGCCAGCAGCCGCGGUAAUACGUAGGUGGCAAGCGUUGUCCGGAAUUAUUGGGCGUAAAGCGCGCGCAGGCGGCUUCUUAAGUCUGAUGUGAAAGCCCACGGCUCAACCGUGGAGGGUCAUUGGAAACUGGGAGGCUUGAGUGCAGAAGAGGAGAGCGGAAUUCCACGUGUAGCGGUGAAAUGCGUAGAGAUGUGGAGGAACACCAGUGGCGAAGGCGGCUCUCUGGUCUGUAACUGACGCUGAGGCGCGAAAGCGUGGGGAGCGAACAGGAUUAGAUACCCUGGUAGUCCACGCCGUAAACGAUGAGUGCU